rnacentral:rRNA from 1 species
GCAUGUGGUUUAAUUCCAAGCAACGCCAAGAACCUUACCUAAGCUUGACAUCCCAAUGACAUCUCCUUAAUCGGAGAGUUCCCUUCGGGGACAUUGGUGACAGGUGGUGCAUGGUUGUCGUCAGCUCGUGUCGUGAGAUGUUGGGUUAAGUCCCGCAACGAGCGCAACCCUUGUCUUUAGUUGCCAUCAUUAAGUUGGGCACUCUAGAGAGACUGCCAGGGAUAACCUGGAGGAAGGUGGGGAUGACGUCAAAUCAUCAUGCCCCUUAUGCUUAGGGCUACACACGUGCUACAAUGGGUAGUACAGAGGGUUGCCAAGCCGUAAGGUGGAGCUAAUCCCUUAAAGCUACUCUCAGUUCGGAUUGUAGGCUGAAACUCGCCUACAUGAAGCUGGAGUUACUAGUAAUCGCAGAUCAGAAUGCUGCGGUGAAUGCGUUCCCGGGUCUUGUACACACCGCCCGUCACACCACGGGAGUUGGAGACGCCCGAAGCCGAUUAUCUAACCUUUUGGAAGAAGUCGUCGAAGGUGGAAUCAAUAACUGGGGUGAAGUCGUAACAAGGUAGCCGUAUCGGAAGGUGCGGCUGGAUCACCUCCUUUCUAAGGA